rnacentral:rRNA from 1 species
CCUACGGGAGGCAGCAGUGGGGAAUAUUGGGCAAUGGGCGCAAGCCUGACCCAGCAACGCCGCGUGAAGGAAGAAGGCUCUCGGGUUGUAAACUUCUUUUAUCAGGGACGAAGCAAGUGACGGUACCUGAUGAAAAAGCCACGGCUAACUACGUGCCAGCAGCCGCGGUAAUACGUAGGGGGCAAGCGUUAUCCGGAUUUACUGGGUGUAAAGGGCGUGUAGGCGGGAAAGCAAGUCAGAUGUGAAAACCAUGGGCUCAACCUGUGACCUGCAUUUGAAACUGUUUAUCUUGAGUACUGGAGAGGCAGACGGAAUUCCUAGUGUAGCGGUGAAAUGCGUAGAUAUUAGGAGGAACACCAGUGGCGAAGGCGGUCUGCUGGACAGCAACUGACGCUGAGGCGCGAAAGCGUGGGGAGCAAACAGGAUUAGAUACCCGAGUAGUC